ensembl:lncRNA
GAAAAAUAUGAUUUCUUAAUAAAAUGUUAUUUUGCUAAACGUUACAAAUCUCCAUAUUGGAACAAACGCCUUCAUUUUAUGAGGUAAUUCUAAAUGCAAUUACCUCAUACACUAUUGGCUCUUUUCAGGCCAGCUGUUUUGGACAUGUAAUGGACUAUUAGUCAUGUAAAAGGAUCUACAGUUCAAACAGUUCACGUUUUGGGCGGGGAUUAUGAGAAACUUUUAAAGAGAACAUCCAAAACACUUCAGCGGAUCCUGAUUGGGCAAGCAACCUGUCACUCGAAAGCCAGGGGCGUGGUUUAGGAGCGAUCGUUCUCAAUGUAAUAGAGUUUUAGCGCAGUCUUGCUUUUUCAUAGGCGUGUGUCAACUGUGUGUGCCAAGGGUGCUCCGCUCUUACCAAUGCGAUUAAUGAACACAACGAACCGAUUGAGGAAACACUAAACAAACAAGCUGCUUUUCCUUUUCGUCUGUGUUUUAAUACGGACGAGCUUCGCGUCUGCAAGGAAUCAUCCCUCUGCACGAGCACAAAGGAAAAUUAAAAAAGGGAAGCAAAGGUCUGUUGUGGAAUGUCACAACUUCCUCAAGUGAUCCAGUACUUUACCCUCAGCUUAAUCACCUGACUGCGGUCCUGUUGUCUGAUUGGAUCAUCUUUUGAGAACUGAAAAUGGCGUUAAAAGAACAAGCAGAGUAGCAGGAGGAAGAGGAGGAAGAGAAAAGGGGAGUCAUGGACCAAAGCAGCGUCCCCCCUCCUUCUGUUCUUAUUCACAAAUUGGUUUCUUAGGACCCAGUGCCACAUUACACUUUGUUUUUGCAUUGUAUGUGUUUUCUGCUGCCUUUAGUUUGUCUGUUAAUUCAUCAGCGCUGGCGAUGGGGGGGGGGGGGAGCUUACACAUUUGGAGCCAGGAAGCACCUCCUGGCUCAUCUGUGUCCCUUAAUCCUGAGAACAGCCAUGCUGGUGAGAUUGCAGGCCCCUCGGAGUCUCUCCUUCUGGAAACUUCAAAGUCAGGCAUUGGCGAUUUGGAAGACAGGGAGGCAAAGUCUGCAGGGAGCCUUCAUGCAGUUACGCAAUGGACUCUAG